GCCUUUCUAGUAUUAAAUAGUAUGAGUGACUUCCAAUCAUUCGGCCUUGGCUAAAAUCCAAGGAAAGGUA
rnacentral:tRNA from 1 species